rnacentral:rRNA from 1 species
GACGAACGCUGGCGGCGUGCUUAACACAUGCAAGUCGAACGGAAAGGCCCUGCUUUUGUGGGGUGCUCGAGUGGCGAACGGGUGAGUAACACGUGAGUAACCUGCCCUUGACUUUGGGAUAACUUCAGGAAACUGGGGCUAAUACCGGAUAGGAGCUCCUGCUGCAUGGUGGGGGUUGGAAAGUUUCGGCGGUUGGGGAUGGACUCGCGGCUUAUCAGCUUGUUGGUGGGGUAGUGGCUUACCAAGGCUUUGACGGGUAGCCGGCCUGAGAGGGUGACCGGCCACAUUGGGACUGAGAUACGGCCCAGACUCCUACGGGAGGCAGCAGUGGGGAAUAUUGCACAAUGGGCGGAAGCCUGGUGCAGCAACGCCGCGUGCGGGAUGACGGCCUUCGGGUUGUAAACCGCUUUCGCCUGUGACGAAGCGUGAGUGACGGUAAUGGGUAAAGAAGCACCGGCUAACUACGUGCCAGCAGCCGCGGUGAUACGUAGGGUGCGAGCGUUGUCCGGAUUUAUUGGGCGUAAAGGGCUCGUAGGUGGUUGAUCGCGUCGGAAGUGUAAUCUUGGGGCUUAACCCUGAGCGUGCUUUCGAUACGGGUUGACUUGAGGAAGGUAGGGGAGAAUGGAAUUCCUGGUGGAGCGGUGGAAUGCGCAGAUAUCAGGAGGAACACCAGUGGCGAAGGCGGUUCUCUGGGCCUUUCCUGACGCUGAGGAGCGAAAGCGUGGGGAGCGAACAGGCUUAGAUACCCUGGUAGUCCACGCUGUAAACGGUGGGUACUAGGUGUGGGGUCCAUUCCACGGGUUCCGUGCCGUAGCUAACGCUUUAAGUACCCCGCCUGGGGAGUACGGCCGCAAGGCUAAAACUCAAAGGAAUUGACGGGGCCCCGCACAAGCGGCGGAGCAUGCGGAUUAAUUCGAUGCAACGCGUAGAACCUUACCUGGGUUUGACAUGGAUCGGGAGUGCUCAGAGAUGGGUGUGCCUCUUUUGGGGUCGGUUCACAGGUGGUGCAUGGCUGUCGUCAGCUCGUGUCGUGAGAUGUUGGGUUAAGUCCCGCAACGAGCGCAACCCUUGUUCACUGUUGCCAGCACGUUAUGGUGGGGACUCAGUGGAGACCGCCGGGGUCAACUCGGAGGAAGGUGGGGAUGACGUCAAGUCAUCAUGCCCCUUAUGUCCAGGGCUUCACGCAUGCUACAAUGGCUGGUACAGAGAGUGGCGAGCCUGUGAGGGUGAGCGAAUCUCGGAAAGCCGGUCUCAGUUCGGAUUGGGGUCUGCAACUCGACCUCAUGAAGUCGGAGUCGCUAGUAAUCGCAGAUCAGCAACGCUGCGGUGAAUACGUUCCCGGG